GGCAGGCAAGGGCCUCCUGCCCGGCACCUGGGCUGUGGGGUGGCUCUGCGCACCCUUCCCUCCGGCGCCUUCGCCGCGCCGGUGGCGGCUCCCAGCGGUAAAUCAGCCAGUUCCCCCUGCUCCCUCCGCCCCUCCGGCGCGGUCCUGACCUGCCUCUGACUCACCACAUCGCAGGAGCCCUGGUGCGCAGCGGGGGGAAGGAGGGAGGGGGCGCCUCCUUCCCUUCCUCUCUCUCCCCUCCCUACGUCCCUCCUUCCCCCCGCGUCUCUCUCGGCCAGGCUCCCCCAGCCGGGGGGCAGGACGGAUGGAUGUCGCGCACGGGAGCCACAAGGGGAACUGCUUCGGCCGCCCUUAGUGGCCCGUAUCAUGCACCCGGGCGUUGUCAGGCCGAGCGGGUACCGCUGGCGAGCAGGCGCAGCCCCCGCUGCGCGUUCGGCCUCUGGACACUACCAGAGGUGCUGGGAAACUGAGGUGCUGAGCAAUGCCAUGUAUGCCUGUGGAGUUGCUGUGAGACUGGAGAUCUCAACGUCAGGGCCUGCACCAGAGGACCCAUCUUUUUUGUGGUAAUGAGUUUCAGCAGCUACUGAUUUAAACCAGAUUCUAUUCUUGCUGCUCUCUCCAAAAGGAGGUGGUCCUCCACACUCUGUUGAAGUGCUUGGUGAGCUAGUAACACUGCUGUGUAAUAUGCAGAGAGAAGGCACGUUUAACAUCUCAAUAAGGACUCAAAGGACUCAGCUGUCUCCCACAUUAGUGUGCUGAAGAACAUCUCAAACAAUGUCUCUCUUAAUCCUCCCCAAAAAUUACUGCUGAGAAGUGCUACUAGCUUCAUUUUACUGAUAUGGGACUGAGGAACAGAGAAAACUAAUGUCUUGUCUAAGGGAUUUUUGUCUGCAAUAGCUUCUUGGGAAACAGGGAAGAAAUCAGAGUGAUUUGGAUCAUCUGCCUCGAGCAUCCUGGUCACCAGGAUGAAGGUCACCUUAGUCGCCUUGGUCAAGUCAGCUUGGGACACCCAGGUCCCUUCACCCUGUCCUCUCAGUCCUCUGAAAAAUAAAGCAUCAGUUCUACCAGACUCUCAGAAGUUGCACUGAAGAAGUUGCACUCAGAAGUUCCUGAAGUUACAGACAGACAGUCAGACAAGAAGAACCCAGUUUUUCUGCCUGUGUGCUACCAGGGAAGCUCUGAAGCAAAUGAAAGAGGUGGAAGUUUCAAAACCAAUUAAUUUAGGUCAAGUCUUAGUGGAAAUACUCCAGCUAAGUUUUGCUGUCUCCAGAGCUGUCCAAGAGAUUUUGAAGCAGAUCAUUUUUGUUUUGAGGGUGUUUUGUUUGAGUUUUAUUUGAGAAAGCAAAA